AGGAUUAUAGUUUAUUUAAAACAUUUGAUUUGCAUUCAAAAAAUAUUGAACUUCAAUUUAUCUUAAUUUUGUAUAACA
rnacentral:tRNA from 1 species